rnacentral:rRNA from 1 species
GACGAACCGUGCGAACGUUGUUCGGAAUCACUGGGCUUAAAGGGCGCGUAGGCGGGCCGGCAAGUCAGGGGUGAAAUCCCACGGCUCAACCGUGGAAGUGCCUUUGAUACUGCCGGUCUUGAGGGAGGUAGGGGCGUGCGGAACUUCCGGUGGAGCGGUGAAAUGCGUAGAUAUUGGGAGGAACACCAGUGGCGAAGGCGGCUCACUGGACCGGGACUGACGCUGAGGCGCGAAAGCGUGGGGAGCAAACGGG